rnacentral:rRNA from 1 species
CGCGGUAAUACUGGCAGAACGAGUGGUGCCCACGAAUAUUGGGUCUAAAGAGACCGUAGCUGGCCUGCUAAGUCCACUGUGAAAUCUUGGGGCUUAACCUCAAGGCGUGCAGUGGAUACUGGUAGGCUUGAGAGCGGGGGAGGUCAGGAGUACUUACGGGGUAUGGGUAAAAUCAGUUGAUCCUGUAAGGACUACCAGUGGCGAAGGCGCCUGACCAAAACGCGUCUGACAGUGAGGGUCGAAGGCUAGGAGAACGAAUCGGAUUAGAUACCCGAGUAGCCCUAGCAGUAAAUCAUGCAGACUGUGGUGCUGCUGAAGCUUCGGGCUUCAGCAGUGCUGUAGCGUAGGUGUUAAGUCUGCCACCUGGGGAGUACGGCCGCAAGGUUGAAACUUAAAGGAAUUGGCGGGGGAGCACCACAAGGGGUGGAUGCUGCGGUUCAAUUGGAUUCAACGCCGGGAA